CAGUCGCCGCGGUAAUACGUAGGGUGCAAGCGUUAAUCGGAAUUACUGGGCGUAAAGCGUGCGCAGGCGGUUUUGUAAGACAGAGGUGAAAUCCCCGGGCUCAACCUGGGAACUGCCUUUGUGACUGCAAGGCUAGAGUACGGCAGAGGGGGAUGGAAUUCCGCGUGUAGCAGUGAAAUGCGUAGAUAUGCGGAGGAACACCGAUGGCGAAGGCAAUCCCCUGGGCCUGUACUGACGCUCAUGCACGAAAGCGUGGGGAGCAAACAGGAUUAGAUACCCCUGUAGUCCCUGUCUCUUAUAA
rnacentral:rRNA from 1 species